AGUGAACGCUGGCGGUAGGCCUAACACAUGCAAGUCGAACGACAGCACAGUAAGAGCUUGCUCUUACGGGUGGCGAGUGGCGGACGGGUGAGGAAUACAUCGGAAUCUACUUUUUCGUGGGGGAUAACGUAGGGAAACUUACGCUAAUACCGCAUACGACCUACGGGUGAAAGCAGGGGAUCUUCGGACCUUGCGCGAUUGAAUGAGCCGAUGUCGGAUUAGCUAGUUGGCGGGGUAAAGGCCCACCAAGGCGACGAUCCGUAGCUGGUCUGAGAGGAUGAUCAGCCACACUGGAGCUGAGACACGGUCCAGACUCCUACGGGAGGCAGCAGUGGGGAAUAUUGGACAAUGGGCGCAAGCCUGAUCCAGCCAUACCGCGUGGGUGAAGAAGGCCUUCGGGUUGUAAAGCCCUUUUGUUGGGAAAGAAAAGCAGCAGGUUAAUACCCCGCUGUUCUGACGGUACCCAAAGAAUAAGCACCGGCUAACUUCGUG
rnacentral:rRNA from 1 species